UACGUAGGGUGCGAGCGUUAAUCGGAAUUACUGGGCGUAAAGCGUGCGUAGACGGUUAUUUAAGUCGGGUGUGAAAGCCCCGGGCUCAACCUGGGAAUGGCAUUGGAAACUGGCGGGCUUGAGUGUGGCAGAGGGGGGUGGAAUUCCGCGUGUAGCAGUGAAAUGCGCAGAGUAUUAGGAAGAACACCAGUGGCGAAGGCGGCUCACUGGCCCGGUACUGACGCUGAGGCGCGAAAGCGUGGGGAGCAAACAGG
rnacentral:rRNA from 1 species